CAAAUCUAGCCUUUAUUUAACAACAUAAGCAAACUCUAUGUUACAAUGAUUGCACAACCAUUAAGGAUCAAAUCAGUUUCUGAAAAAUAUUCUGUUUUUUCUCCCUCUGCUUGCUUCUUACUGUCUUUGAGGCCGAUCGGGACCAGCACUCCUGUUGUUGGACAGAAAGACAUCAACUCAGUGACUUAUUAGAGAUAUGACUGCACUGUGCUGUUGCUGGUGACUCCAGUUAAUUCUACAAGACACGCUGUGACAACAGGAGAGAUGAGUCCUCCGUCACAGACGGUGUGGUCAGUGAAGAUGGUCGCCUGCAGGUUCAAGCUCAUUGCAUCUCCAACCCACAUCCACUGCCACUGUACUUAAGGGAAGUUAAAGACUUUCUUCUGCACCUACAUUUGGAUCACUUCGAUCCAUGACAGUCAUUCAGGCACUAAUGCCUGGACUGGAAACAAACCAUCCUUAAAACAUUACAACAUUCCAGCUCCUGUGUUGGAAUGAAAAACAAAUGUGUUGUUUAAAGUAGAGACUGCACUUGUGACAGAACAACAAAUAUUUUAUUUUGAUUAUAUAAGUAAUGUAAGUACAAAACAAACUUGUGGUAGGCCUAAACUUAUUUUCAGAAUAAUUACAUCUGAGACUUUGUUUCAUUGUAAGAUUAUAACAGUGAUGGCAAUAUAAUUGUUUGUUGUUCAGCAGAAGUGUCCAGUAUGUUGGCUGUUAUACUUUGUUGUGUUUGAAAAUAAAAGUUGGGC
ensembl:lncRNA